UCAUUUAACUAGUAAAGCAUGCGUUACGAAGCCUUUGAAGGCCGAGACUCAAGGGACCUCGCCUCAACGAGGAAGAAGAUCCUUGUCGAAAAUCUCCGAUCCCAAAGGGCGAAUCAGCACAGCGACGACCAAGAAUCUUCAAACAACGUCGGCGUCAAAUAGGACGAAAGACAAGAAGUUCGGUAAACGACAACUCAAUACCAAAAUGGACAAGGUAAUGGA
rnacentral:lncRNA from 1 species